UGAUCCUUAACGCGAAGAAGAACCACCGACAUCGACCAUAUCCAGGCAAUCCAGGAACUGAUUUGAAGCAACCGCAGAUUUUUAAACGAUGAGGACGUUCACACAGUGAUGCUCGGAUGACUCCGUAACGAAGGAUAGAAUUCCUGCUGUUGAGGAAUCGGACGGUUGGAGCUGUUGCUUAUGCUGCAUCGUAACAUUCGCCGAGAACACAGCUCUAGAUAGUUAUGUCACCGAUGGAAAAUGAGUCGUCAAAAUGAGCACAGGCGCAGUGAACGACUAAGAAUGCCGAUUCGGGUAUCCCGGCCGCAAGACAUUAACAAAUGUUGAACUAAUUUGGCAACAGUUUUGCUGACAAAUCUAUGCUGUUUCUAGGGAGGAGUACUAAGCAUGAAGGAGAGAUCGGUUUUGCUGUAUCAUAUUUCAUGAAGCCACGAAGUCUGAACUUGGACAGAUGGCAAUGCAGCCCUGACGGUGCUUAGCAGAUUGUCAAACUCAAGACCUACUACACAAGACUGCAGCACCAAUUUGCAGAUAUCAGUACCAACAGCGGUCCCAAAACUCACGUUUCAGCAACUUUGUUUAUGAAUCUUCAUCAACCAGAAUUGUACUCUAUCUUCCUGAUAAAAUUCUUAAAUUACAUAAUACAACAUUUAGUAUUGUUAUGAGCCCAAAUCAGGUAACCAAACUGUUCCUAUAAGAUAAAUUUAGCAAAAUGUCAAUAAUCCGAAAUAAUGUCAUAAGUUAUUUAGUAAUAUACAUUUUACUGACAUGAAAAAAGUUUGUAGAACCAUGCAUUAUUAGUAUCUGUUGAAUGAAUUUAUGAAACUGAUAUUAUUAGUUUAGCGAAGUAACAAAAAAUACAGUCUAUCAAUUAAUUAUGCUACAUUUGCUUUAUGAAUGACCAAGCUCAAGUAGAUAAUGUUGCUAAAAACUGAAAAAAUAGUUUGCAUCAAAUAAAUUGUUAUCAUUGAAAUCUGUUCUAACAGCAUUUUAUAAAUGCUUUGCAACACUAUAUAGCACUGCAUUUGAGGUAAUUAUUGGUUGUAGUGCUGAACACACCAUUAAGUACAGAAGUGCCUGUAUUGUUUCUGAGAGGGCUAAUAACUUUCUUUCAUUUUCAAAGAAACAUGACCCUGUUUAAAAUGCACGCCAGUUAAGGAACACAUAUUUGAAUCUAUGUCUCACUUACUAAUGUUUAGCUUGUAAUAAAUAAAAAAGUAUUAUACUUAAGCCAUAUAUUCAGCGGGUGGCUGUGCUCCCUUUUUUCACUAAUUGUUUGAUUUUGUUUUCAUUGUUAUUCAUCCAUCAUAUAAAUUAAUUAACACAUUAAUUUUUACAUAUGCUGUGAAAUUCU